rnacentral:rRNA from 1 species
CCUUUCGGUUCGGGAUAACGUCUGGAAACGGACGCUAACACCGGAUACGUCCUUCGGGAGAAAGUUUACGCCGAGAGAGGGGCCCGCGUCCGAUUAGGUAGUUGGUGGGGUAAUGGCCCACCAAGCCGACGAUCGGUAGCUGGUCUGAGAGGAUGAUCAGCCACACUGGGACUGAGACACGGCCCAGACUCCUACGGGAGGCAGCAGUGGGGAAUAUUGGACAAUGGGGGCAACCCUGAUCCAGCAAUGCCGCGUGAGUGAUGAAGGCCUUAGGGUUGUAAAGCUCUUUCGCACGCGACGAUGAUGACGGUAGCGUGAGAAGAAGCCCCGGCUAACUUCGUGCCAGCAGCCGCGGUAAUACGAAGGGGGCGAGCGUUGUUCGGAAUUACUGGGCGUAAAGGGCGCGUAGGCGGCCCGAUCAGUCAGAUGUGAAAGCCCCGGGCUCAACCUGGGAACUGCAUUUGAUACUGUCGGGCUUGAGUUCCGGAGAGGAUGGUGGAAUUCCCAGUGUAGAGGUGAAAUUCGUAGAUAUUGGGAAGAACACCGGUGGCGAAGGCGGCCAUCUGGACGGACACUGACGCUGAGGCGCGAAAGCGUGGGGAGCAAACAGGAUUA